GUAGGGUGCAAGCGUUAAUCGGAAUUACUGGGCGUAAAGCGUGCGCAGGCGGUUAUGUAAGACAGUUGUGAAAUCCCCGGGCUCAACCUGGGAACUGCAUCUGUGACUGCAUAGCUAGAGUACGGUAGAGGGGGAUGGAAUUCCGCGUGUAGCAGUGAAAUGCGUAGAUAUGCGGAGGAACACCGAUGGCGAAGGCAAUCCCCUGGACCUGUACUGACGCUCAUGCACGAAAGCGUGGGGAGCAAACAGGAUUAGAUACCCUGGUAGUCCACGCCCCAAACGAUGUCAACUGGUUGUUGGGUCUUCACUGACUCAGUAACGAAGCUAACGCGUGAAGUUGACCGCCUGGGGAGUACGGCCGCAAGGUUG
rnacentral:rRNA from 1 species